GGGCGCAUGGUCUAGGGGUAUGAUUUUCGCUUCGCAAUCGCAAAUGACUGCUUUGCUAUGCCUGUGAAAGGUCGUGGGUUCAAUUCCCACUGUGUCCA